rnacentral:lncRNA from 1 species
UAUACAGUUAAUAAUGAUUCUAUCUUUAGAAUAGAAAUAAAGCUCACAGAACGGGGUGAUCAGAACAAAUUUCAUGGAGGAGUAGGUCUUGAAAGCUGCAUAGCAUUUCUAAAGCUUUUGUUGUUGUUGCUAAAUAUAACACAGGGAUAUUAAAAUGCAUAAAGUGAAAAAUCAUCAGACAAAUAUUCACAUAACCAUCAUCCUACCUGCCUCAGCAUUCAACAGUAUGUUCAUUCCUUCAUUCUCACCUUACAGAUAACUGCUCUAUUAAAUAUGAUGGGAAUCAUAGCUUUGCAUUACUUUAUUCUUUGGCUAUUUGAAUAUGCAUCUCUAAACAAGGUAAUUUUUUUCCUAUUUUUAAAUUUUACAAAAUUGGAAACUGGUAGUAUAUAUUCUUCUGUAUCUGACUUCUUUGGCACGAUGCUGUGUUUUUAGUAUUCGUCCAUGAGAUCCAUUGCUUCUUCAUUUAUUUUCAGUGCUCUGGUUCAUUCUAUGAAUAUAUAAUUGAUUAAUUUAUUCUUUCUUUGAUGUGCUUUGAGUUAAACUCCUAAUGCAUCCCUUGACACUUGUUCCAAUUUACCUGAAGAAUGGCGAUUCCAUCCUGCAUUUGUUUAGGCCAAAAGCCUUAGGGCUGACCUGACUCUUGCUUUCUCUCAUAGCUGCACAUCCAGUCUGCCAGGAAAUCCUGUCACUACUACCUUCAAAACAGAGCCACAGUUUGACCACUUCAAGACUGGGUUAUGUUUGCCUCUUAGCUGGUGUUCCUGCUUCUACCCUUACAUCUCCCUUACAAUCUGUUCUAAAACCAGCAGCCAGAGUGACUUUUGCCACUCCAUAAAACAUAAAUGGAAUCAUGUCAUGCCUCACUCCCUGCAAAGACCCACCAUUUCACUAAAAACAAAGUCAAGGUCCGAACCAUGACCUACGUAAUCUAGCCCUGGGUUUCUUCUCUCAGCAUUAUCUUCUACUUCUCUUCCCUUCUUUGCUCUGACCCCAUGGGCCUCCUGGCUGUUGUUUGAACAUGCCAGGCAUGGUUUCCCUUCAAACGUUGGCAUUAGCUGUUCCCUCUGUCUGGAAUGAUUUUUCUGCCCAAUAAAGAGAUGACUUUCAUGGAUUGCAUAAAAACACGUAUGUACAAAUGUUUCCUUAACUAUAGGUAUCAAAUAAAGUUCUCUACUAUUAUGAUUUUAAUAAUAAAUAUCUAUUGGCAUUAUUCCUUAUUUCUUUAGAAUGAAUUUGAUUUACCGAUGCAUUGGAAUCUUGCUAGGAUAGCACACGUCAUAUACACAGUUUUAGUUACAGCAUUGAUGAAAUCACAAUCUCUGGAACACUAAUCUUUUAGGUAUGUGCCAUUACUCUCUGCAAGAUAAUAGUUGCCAUUUGUUUAGUACUCACUAUGAGCCAGGCCCUGGAUUUAAAAUGCAUUAUCUGAUUUAAUCCUCACCUCGACCCUAUGAGAUUGGAAAUAUUUUUUCCCAAUUUAACAGAUGAGGAAAUUAAGCCCCAAAGUAUUAAAUAACUCUCUUAAGCCCACAGUCAGUAAAUGUGCUAGUUUUCAAACAUGAGCCUGUCUGACUCCAAAGUCCUAUAUACCACAAAGUCUUCUUUGCUCCACAUAUCAAAACUGGAAAAACAUCACUGUGAAUUUUUUCAGAUUUAUCUGAUAUGUAAUGCUCUUGAAAUUACUUGAACUAUUUUGGAUGCCAGAGUAAUUUAAUGAUGGGAGAAAAUAAUUCCAUGCUCUAAAUUCAAUUACUACCCUGUUUCCAUUUAGUAAUCAAGGAAACAUGGAAAACUCCUGAUAUACAGUAAAACAUAUAAAAACAAAAUGUCAAAAUAAAUUAAAAGUGCAAUAGGGGAAAAGAAACAAAUAUGAAGCAUGUUUGAGAGGACCACGAAGAGUUCAUUUAAGGGCAAGGAGUUCCAGAAUGUUAUACAACAUCGAAACACAAAAGAAUCAGAAGUAAUUUUUUUCUGUAACAACUGAGCUCAUGAAGUUGAGCCGUGUGAUGGUAAACCCAAGGGUAUGGAUGAUCUAAAAUCACAUAGAUCCAUGCUGAUAUGUUACUAGUUGCCAAGCAAACAAAUGGCCACAUUGCAGUUCAACGUAAGAGUUUUUGCCAUUCUUUCCCUUUGCCUGGCAUGUGAAAAUGCAAUAAGUAGCUUUAGAGCCAAAUGGAAUAUACAAAUGUGUAGCAAUGUCAUCUUUGCUAUUCUAUUCUGGUCAAGAGAAGGCAUAUGCUGAUUGAGAAGAUACCAACAUAUACAGCUGCUAAUAGUUACUCUAACUCAACAUGUGUUAAGACCAAAGAAUAGUUGUCAUCUGGCGCAAGUGCUGAGCCUCUUUCAGAUGAGGCAAUGGGGUACAAGUCUAUUACCUCUAGCUCAGAAACACUAUUCACCAACUACCCAAUAAUAAACACAUCUAUUCCACUUGUUUUAAGGCUUUUUAGAAAUCAUUAACUCAAAGUAUCUUUGUAAUUGAUACACAUCUGCAGACCACAGGGUAGCUGGGACAUAAUAGUUAUAAUGAAAGAAUGAUCAAGUGCCAACAUGGAAGGGUGUCUCAUAAGAGCCUAGACAUUAUAAAUAUAAUGUCAUAUCUUGCCUUUGGAAGGUCAGGGAAAAUAUACUUGUCUAUUCACUAAAUAUACUUAAGGCCUUGCUAAAUUAUUAUUCAUUUGAAAAAAAAAGCUUUGGAGAUAACAGAAUAUUAUAAAAUAUAAAAUAAUUGAAAUCAUGGUUGUUUUCCAUCCACACAGAGGGAAAAUGUUCAUAGUGUUGGGGGAAGAAAAGACCAAAUGAUUAACGUGGCUAAGAGCUCUUACAUCUUGAUGAGAAAAUAUUUAACCUCUCUUGGCCAUCAGAAACCUGACUGAGCAUGUUCUCAGUUUUGUCUGCCAAAGGCUAUUUUGGAAUCUGGGAACAAUUGUUUUAAAAGGAAAGAAAUUGUCUAGUCUAGAUUCCAGAGGCGUGUGUUGAGACCUUCCUCUCAUUUCUUUCAUUUACUCAACAAAUAUUUAAGGCAGUAUUGCAUACAAUGAUGAUACAACAAUGAACAAGACAGACAAAGCUCCUGCUCUUCAGGAUUCUACAUGCUACUGGUGGAGGAGACAAGGUCUCAGGAAAGGAGUGGGUAAAACACUUAUCUCCAGAAAGCCAGCAAGAGGGAAGAAGGAAGAAAACCCCAUCCUGCAUGGUAUGAUGCUGAGAUUCCUCACAUAUCUUCAAAGCAUCCUAAGAAACCACGGGAAGAAAUGAAAGGAUUCUCCAUCAGCCAGAUGGUGUGAGCGAGAAGUCAAGUGAAGACAAACCUUCGAUUCUCCCUCUGCCUGGAAGCUGCUGGCAUCUCCGUCCAAGUGCUGAACAAAUGGGACUUUGUGUGCUCUCAUGAGCGAUCUCUUUGAUGUUCUGGCAUCCCGAUUGGCAGCUUUUCAUAUCUGGCCAUCUUAGAGCAGGGGAGAUUGAGAAACAGAGAGAGGAAGAACCAGGGAAAGAAGUCUGGCUCCAAGCCCAGUGGGUAAACAUGCUGGCUGCCUUCUCACACAGAUUACUUUUCAAAAAUGAAAAGGGAGUGUCCAGCUUCGUUUGGAAUAAAGAUGAGGAAAUGACUCUCAGCUGUCCACACACAACAAAACAACCAACCACUACAGAGUAGGGGAGCCUUCCAUCCAAGGUAGACCAGAUGGGAUUUGUCUCCCAGACCCAGAAUAUAUGUUCCCCUUCAAGAAUGUUUAUACUGAUAGUAUCCUGAGGUUGGGGACAUUUUAAUGAGAUCCAUAGUCCUUACUUUCUGCAAAGAAUACACAGUCACAAACUUUCCUUCAGGACAAGAGCAGCUUUGCUUUCCUGAGUGCUUUCUAAAUCUAAUUAUAUAGAUGGAGGCUGUGUGGCCUUUUGUUUUGAGUUCAGAAUUAUGGGUUUGAAAGUCUGAGGUCCAAUUGUAGUUUUAUACCUAACUUCUUGUGUGGCCCUUCACAAGCAAUUAUUUCCUGUCUUAUUUUUCUGAACUGUUGAUGGGAUUAAGCUGGUAAUAGUGGAGGGGGAAGGGGUUUAUAUCUAGUUUUAAAUUCUUAGAAUUGAUUUCAAGACAACAAAUUAUCAAGCAUCUACUCUCAACUUAGUAGUGGGCUAAUAGAAAGAAGAAAAAUAUAUAGAAGAAAACUAUAGGGACUCUGUAUUCAAGAACCUUGUAAAUGACUUGACAAAACUUAAGUAUCAUACAUAAGCAAGGCAGUAUCCAGUCCAAUAUAUAUAAUUGGAUAACAUUAGCUAUAAAUACUGUAAUAAUUAGAAAAAAAUUAACACAUUACUAUUAGUGGGGUUAUUUGGCAUAGGUUUAUAAAACAGAAUAAAUUUCAGAUUAACUGUAAGAAGAAAGAAAUAAUGUAUUGACUUGUAAAGAGGAGAGGCAGUCAAAAAAAAUCAUUCCAUCUUUUAGAUAAAAAAUGAGCACCAAAUGGCUUUAUCAUGGUUAACAUCGAGGUUAACCAAAAUAUGAUCUGAUUAUCCUGAGUAGUUUGGAGACCUAUUAAAUUAAAAACAAAUGCUUAUGAAGAGAUACUUUGCCAAAUUUCUAGUGAGAUUAUAGCAGGAUUACCACAAGGUAAGUGACUUUUUAAGAUAUUGAGCCACUGUAUCUGGUCCCCUGACUCCUAACAUCAUCCCAAAGUAUUUUUUUACCUACUGUUUCUUCAUAUUUGUAUUUUCUGUUUCCCAAAAUGACAGUGUGUUUAAGCUUUGCUUAAAAGGCUUAAAGUUGUAUGCCU